GAGGGAUAUUGCACAAUGGGCGCAAGCCUGAUGCAGCGACGCCGCGUGAGGGAAGACGGUCCUCUGGAUUGUAAACCUCUGUCUUAUGGGACGAAAAUGACGGUACCAUAGGAGGAAGCCCCGGCUAACUACGUGCCAGCAGCCGCGGUAAUACGUAGGGGGCGAGCGUUGUCCGGAAUUACUGGGUGUAAAGGGAGCGUAGGCGGGAAGGUAAGUCUGUUGUGAAAUCUAUCGGCUCAACCGAUAGCUGCGGCAGAAACUGCCAUUCUUGAGUGGAGUAGAGGCAGGCGGAAUUCCUAGUGUAGCGGUGAAAUGCGUAGAUAUUAGGAGGAACACCAGUGGCGAAGGCGGCCUGCUGGGCUUUUACUGACGCUGAGGCUCGAAAGUGCGGGGAGCAAAC
rnacentral:rRNA from 1 species